GAUGAACGCUGGCGGCGUGCCUAAUACAUGCAAGUCGAGCGAACGGACGAGAAGCUUGCUUCUCUGAUGUUAGCGGCGGACGGGAGGGUAACACGUGGAUAACCUACCUAUAAGACUGGGAUAACUUCGGGAAACCGGAGCUAAUACCGGAUAAUAUUUUGAACCGCAUGGUUCAAAAGUGAAAGACGGUCUUGCUGUCACUUAUAGAUGGAUCCGCGCUGCAUUAGCUAGUUGGUAAGGUAACGGCUUACCAAGGCAACGAUGCAUAGCCGACCUGAGAGGGAGAUCGGCCACACUGGAACUGAGACACGGUCCAGACUCCUACGGGAGGCAGCAGUAGGGAAUCUUCCGCAAUGGGCGAAAGCCUGACGGAGCAACGCCGCGUGAGUGAUGAAGGUCUUCGGAUCGUAAAACUCUGUUAUUAGGGAAGAACAUAUGUGUAAGUAACUGUGCACAUAUUGACGGUACCUAAUCAGAAAGCCACGGCUAACUACGUG
rnacentral:rRNA from 1 species